CUUUUGGUGGUUCUGUUGAUUGUGCAGUCUCACCUGAUUCACAUUUUUCACAUUGUCACGAGAUCAGGUGCAUUCUCCUAACUGUAGCCAACAAUCAGUAAAAGAUUCUUGCCUGGGGUCCAUAUGGCCAGAAGAUAUGAAGAAGGAUCAUCUGGUUCUCUUGGAUCCAGCUGUGACACAUAUUAGGACAUGAUAUUAGUAAUGGAUGAAGUUUCAUAUAAACUGGUCUGACAAAGGAACUCACUCCGUCCAAGAGGGGGUGUGAAUCUGGAAGUUCAUAUCUGUAACAAGGAAAAAGGAUAAGUUUCACUAUUUAACUCAAGAUAGACAUCUACCAUCAGAUGAAACCAAUUUGACUAUGCCUACAAAUCACAAUUCAUCUCUAACAAGUUGGUAUCUAGCUACAAUACCAGUAAGCUUCUGGAUUAUGUACUUACACAUGAUGCUCUGUUCGUAGGCGGCUGACAUUUUUAAGCUUGGGCAUGGGAAUUGAAGCAGCCUCUGGAUUAAUAGCGACUAAAGCCUUGGACAUGUCAAUAUCUUGAAGCUCCAUGUUGUUUGCUUGCAUAUAGUUAUGUAAGUUUUGUGUGAACUCCUCAAUAUUUAAUUUAAUAGUAGGAAUUUCCUCAGGAUCUUCAUAAAAAGCAUCCUCGAUUGCUCUUUCUUCUGUUUGAAUGCUUUCAGGUUCUGGUGUUGCUGGUUCUUCAAUGAUAGGCUCACA
rnacentral:lncRNA from 1 species